AUUGAACGCUGGCGGAAUGCUUUACACAUGCAAGUCGAACGGCAGCACGGACUUCGGUCUGGUGGCGAGUGGCGAACGGGUGAGUAAUGUAUCGGAACGUGCCCAGUCGUGGGGGAUAACGUAGUGAAAAUUACGCUAAUACCGCAUACGAUCUAUGGAUGAAAGCGGGGGAUCGCAAGACCUCGCGCGAUUGGAGCGGCCGAUAUCAGAUUAGGUAGUUGGUGGGGUAAAGGCCCACCAAGCCAACGAUCUGUAGCUGGUCUGAGAGGACGACCAGCCAAACUGGAACGGAGACACGGUCCAGACUCCUACGGGAGGCAGCAGUGGGGAAUUUUGGACAAUGGGCGAAAGCCUGAUCCAGCCAUUCCGCGUGCAGGAUGAAGGCCCUCGGGUUGUAAACUGCUUUUGUACAGAACGAAAGGGUUUCUACUAAUACUAGGAGCUCAUGACGGUACUGUAAGAAUAAGCACCGGCUAACUACGUGCCAGCAGCCGCCGUAA
rnacentral:rRNA from 1 species